UGCCAGCAGCCGCGGUAAGACGGAGGAUGCAAGUGUUAUCCGGAAUCACUGGGCGUAAAGCGUCUGUAGGUGGUUUAAUAAGUCAACUGUUAAAUCUUGAGGCUCAACUUCAAAAUGGCAGUCGAAACUAUUAGACUAGAGUAUAGUAGGGGUAAAGGGAAUUUCCAGUGGAGCGGUGAAAUGCGUAGAGAUUGGAAAGAACACCAAUGGCGAAAGCACUUUACUGGGCUAUUACUGACACUGAGAGACGAAAGCUAGGGUAGCAAAUGGGAUUAGAUACCCCAGUAGUCCUAGCCGUAAACGAUGGAUACUAUAUGUUGAACAGAUCGACCUGUGCAGUAUCAAAGCUAAACGCGUUAAGUAUCCCGCCUGGGAAGUAUGCUCGCAAGAGUGAAACUCAA
rnacentral:rRNA from 1 species